CGAUACGAAGCUAUAGGAAACAGCAACAGCCUUUUAAGCUGUAGACAGGUGGCCUCCACCCACCCAUAUCGA
rnacentral:tRNA from 1 species